GCAACUCGCCUGCAUGAAGUCGGAAUUCGCUAGUAAUCGCGGAUCAGCAUGCCGCGGUGAAUACGUUCUCGGGCCUUGUACACACCGCCCGUCACACCAUGGGAGUCGGUAACACCCGAAGUCUGUAGCCUGACGCAAGAGGGCGCAGCCGAAGGUGGGAUUGAUGACUGGGGUGAAGUCGUAACAAGGUAUC
rnacentral:rRNA from 1 species